UUGACCUCAAAUCAGGUAGGACUACCCGCUGAACUUAAGCAUAUCAAUAAGCGGAGGAAAAGAAACUAACAAGGAUUCCCCUAGUAACUGCGAGUGAACCGGGAAAAGCUCAAAUUUGAAAUCUGGCAGUCUCUCUUUUCUUCUUUGGCUGCCCGA
rnacentral:rRNA from 1 species